ACCUGUGAUGUUGUGUUAACACGAUAAUCGAUAAUGAUGAUUGCGCUGUGGAUUGACUGUCGCGCGAUAAUCAAACGAUAAUCAAACUUGUGAAAAGAAAAUUGAUUAAAACAUUUAUUUGUUUGUUGCAGAAAAUUAAGAACUAGAAACGGUUUUUUAGUGAUCAUUUUGAAGGGUUGUUUUAUCUAAAGACUUCUAUGAUUGAAUCAAAUUAGAGCGGUGCUUUAAUUAAACUAUCAAACAUACUAAACAAGCAUUAAAUUACGAGAGUUGUUUUAUUUCAAGACUUGGAAAAAAGAUGGUUAUAAAAACGCAGAAAUGUUUAAUUAUGCUUAUCACUUUUGCAAGUGCUUUAAUCAUGUCUCAAACUCCGUCUAAACGUCGGUGAAUUGAACUUUCCCUAGAGGACAAAAGCCUUUAAAGAUUAACUCAGUUAAUAUAUUGAGUAAACUUACUCCGUACAUCGAAUCCCCACUAAACGGGAAUCCUCACUAAUUUUGCAUUUAAUUAUAAUUCAGCCUACUUAUAAUAUUUCCUUCGCAACAUAAAAAAUAGCUAGUGUGAAUGUUUCUAUUUGUCAUAGUUUCAGAGUUUAUUGGCAAAUCGCACUAAACUAUUAGGAAUAAAGAAGGAAUACAACUACUAGAUUUAACUUUGUUUAUGUUGUUAUUUUUAUGUUUUAUACUUACAGUAAACUUAUUUUGUAAAUUCAAAUGGUAUUAAAUUAAUUCCUCAUAAUUAUAGGAGUCAACGGUUAAGAUAUGACCAUUCGAUUUCUUAACGGUUACGAAAUGACCAACAAUGAGCGGUUACGAAAUGACCAUAAUUCAUUUGACAAGGCUUUUACCAGCUGUUUGUCUGUGCUGAGCGGGAAUUUUACCUGGGAUUGGCUGGACCGAAAGUCAAAGUCCCCGCUAUUAGCAGGACCUUGGGGGCCCAUGCUGCAACUGACUGUUGCAUUAUUUGGAUUUUUUCUUAACUUUACGACACGCCUCCCUACAGUAUUUUAUAGUCAAGUUUAGUAUCAUUUAUUUACAGAAAUUGGAUAACUUAACAAGUAAAGUAAACUGUACUGAGCUUUUAAACAAACCUACAUACUUAUAAAUCAAAAUUGAUAUUUUAGGGUCUACACUGAAUAAACCCAAAAUGUUAGUUUUGAUUUGCUAAAUUCGAACAGUAUUUAGUCUAUCCACACAAAAUUUACAGGAUCAUCAGAUAACAAAUUUUCUAAAAAUUCUCUGUUUGCCAAAUAGGGAAGACAGGUUUAAGUGGGGUUAAAAGGUUGCUAUCUGUAACCAAAGAAAUACUGUUUAAAAUUGUGAGUAUUCAUUUAUCUUUCGUUCAGUAAAGAGCAUGCAAUGGCAUAGUGGUUGGAUUAGAUAAUCUAUUAUGAUCAUUCUUUUUGCAUUAUAUUGUGUUGCAAAAUGUUGAAUAAUAAUUUCUUUAGUACAAUAAAAAUAAAACAUUUAUAUUUUAAAAUAGACCUAUCAUAUUUAGUAUAGAAAUGAUUGUUUAUUUAAUUGACUCAGAUAACUUAUAAUAUCAUUUCUUGACAUUAUAAACAUUAUAUAUUAUAUUUUGUAUUUUUGUCAUCAUAUUUGCAACUUGCAUAACUUCAGUAACUUCUUAAGCAAACACUUAAUUCUUAUUUUUGACUGUUGUCACUACAUUUUAGCACCUUUUUUGUUCUAUGGUUUUGCUAAUCAUAAGAAUUAGGCUUAAACACCUAUGCAAACCAGACAAGUUGUGAUAAGCAUAUAUUCGAUCAAAGAAACAAAGAUUAUCUAAAGGAAACUCUUAAUUCUAAGCCAAGUAAAACUCUUAAGAUGACAGUGCCAGUUGUUGGCAACUUAGCCUCAAAUUUAGUAUUUAAACCCAUGACUUCCCAGUCCAGGUUUUUUUACCAUUUGAAUCAUAAAAAGAUAACAAACAAACACGGAUGGAACAUUUGAAAAUACAAUUCAGUUGGUGUCUAUUUUCUUGCUCAUUUUUGCUUGAAAUUAUUCUGCUUGAAUGUGAUUUUUGUUGCUUAAAUUUGAACUUAACUCUUUGUGAAUAUUUAAGGAAUGUAAGGGGUCAGAUUUCAGAUUGCUCAUUAUUUCUGGAACACUAAAUACUUUAUUUGAUUGUGUACACUGCACUUUCUUGUUAAGCAUUCAUCCAAAUCAUUUGGGUAAAUAUUGGCAAAAAAACUGAUUUUAGAUUUAAAUACUGGUCAUCAAAACCAGCACUGACAAAACAUAAGAUGUGUUUAAUUAAUGUGCGGGAAAGAGGUUUAAAGGUGUCCGCCCACAAUGAAAUGCUUGCGGGUCACAGUACCCCUUCAAGUUAAGUUCUUGAAAAAAAAAUGAUUCUCUCUGGUAGCGUUUGAUUAUGUGUACAUUGUAUCCUUGUAUGUAUUUUCAAGUGUACACAUGAUUUAUAUAAGGUUUGUACAAUUUUAGUUUUAUUUAAAUUUUAAAAUUUUGACAUUUUUUUUUAAGAUUUGCCUGCCCCUGUCUAAACACUUAAAUUCUUGGUCUUUGGACUAUUGUCUGCAACUUCAAAACACACUUUUUGGACCAGGACACAUUUUUCUGAUAUUUUAUCCAGUUUGACUGCAAUAUUAGUUGUAUUUAUCAAUAAUUUAAGUAAAAAAUGACAUUUAUAUUUCCAUAAUUACCUGGUAGUUAUUUGUUAAUUUGUUUUAAUUCAUGGAUAGGUUUAUUGCGAGUGUCAUGGAAAGCUGGAACUUUUCAGUACACAACAUGCAAACUGAGAAUGAACUGUGUGUGCCGGCUUUGUGAACAAAAACGCAAGGCGGCUAUGGUUAGUUGCGUUUUACAAUUUGUGUUUCGCUGAUCUGUUGGCUGGGAUCAGAUCAUCCAUUUGGGGAUUUAGAUAUGUUACCCCAGCCAACAGGCUGCAUGUUUAAUUUUACUCAAUACUAAGCUUUGUUUUAGUGCGAACAUCAACAUGUUUAUCUAAUUGCAGUUGCUGCUUGGGACAAUAAAGUUAAGUCAGCAACCGUCUACCAGACUGCAAGAUUCAUUCCUUUCCAAAGGAUGUCGUACCUUUCCAGAUACACUGUGUUUUGUGUGGAUAAGAAAUGCAGAGUGGUACCACCAAUCACCUAAGCCACCAUUCCCCUAACAGACAAUAGGCUCAUGGGGACAGUUCCUGCAAUUUACAGAAAAGCUCUCAAUUGUAGCCCUAUGAACUUCAGAUACUGCCGAUGGUGAAGCUUGGGUGCACUGGGCCAGUUUUCCAGCCGUGUGGAAUCAACAUCUCCAGCUGAACUGGGGCCGGGAAUUAUAUAAGACCCCUUAGCAGCAUGAGUGCCAGCCAGUCAUUGCUGUUCUUUGCAUUGCUGAGAAGGACAGUCCUGCCAACAUAACAGUUUGUUCAAUAACAGGAGACAAACAGAAACACAGAGGUGCUAUACAUUCUGAUGGAAAAACAAAAGCAUCUCCCAUCAUUUUGGCGUGGCUCAGAUCAAGAGGAGAAUUUUAAGAAAGGUGAUGGUUGGGAACACACAAGAAGACAUAGAUCACAGGUGUCCAGGCAUAUGAGUAGACAGGAGUUUCACACUCUGCCAAACUUACUUCAUCAGAGGAGCGGAAAGCUUCUCAAGAUCCCGCACUGCACACUUAGAUAUAGUCUUUGACUACAACAAGGGGAUGAAAGUACAGAGAGGUCCAACUGAAAUCAAUUCUGUGCUGCGUCAUUUCUUCAUUCUGAAGUCGAUGGACAUGAUUUAUCAUGGCAUCAAGUGUGCAGUUUGUCGACUAUCAGCAGUCUUGUUCACCAGUUGUGCAACUUGAGCUGGUAGCUUUAUUGCUUGAAGCCACUGCAUAAGAGGGGGAAGGUGCAGGCUCAUCAAAAAGUCUCAAAAGUUGAAACUAGGAAAAGAAGUUUGUCAAGAGUGUGAAUUUAUUUGCUUUGAAAACAAUUGUUACAAUGAUUUGGUUUCCUUUGAAACUUGAUACAUUCUAUGUGUAUGUUGACUGAAUUGAGAUGCUUAAAUAAAGAACCGCUAUUCAAAUAUCAGGAAACUGCAUUUUUCAUACUAAAGGGUAAAUGGUGUCGCCAUUUCCUGUAUGUAUUUAAAUAAGAUAUGUUUCCACAAUUAAUAUUUUUAGGGAAUUUUUCUCAACCUAAUGAAUGAGAUUAAAUUGUACAGCGUUAUAUGAGCUUAAUAUGUGUUUUCUGUUUCUUUAAAAUUGGUGAAAAAUUGUCAGAAGAUAAUUAGACCAGUAUCCAUUACUGCAAUCAUACAAUCAAAUAUACAGGGACAAACCCACUGGGCAUAUAAUAUAAUUAAAUAAUUAAACCCUGUUUAGGGGCACGAGGCAAACAGAGUUACUUUCAAACGUUAAAGCUGCACUCUCACAUUUUGGACGUUUUGACAACUUUUCUCAUUUUAUGUCUUGGAUUGGAACCAUCCAAUUUUUGCGAAAAAUUAAAUGGCAGAUUUUUCUAUUUAAGUUAAAACAUUGAUGUUUUAUGCACUUUUCUUAAACCGUUAGUUGCAUUAAUUUUCGAACGGAAAUAUGAAAUCAGUGAUCUGAUCUUUUGUCAGCAAUCUUUUAUCAUUGGUUUGCAGAUAAUUACGCAAAAAAUUGCUCAUUUCAAAACAAAAAAAAGUUGUGAAAACGGUAUAUCUGUGGGAGUGCAGCUCUAAAUGUUUGAUUUCUUGAUUUUACUACUGUAUUAGAAAUUACAGGGGUUGGGGCAUAUUUUUAGUGUUUUUAUUGCUUUUUUAUGAUUCAUACAGUCAUACUUUAUUCCUCAGGGCAUAACUUACAAAUAGACAAAACUGGAAAAUGGUCAUAUCAAAAGGUCAAAGAUAAUGCAAGUUGAACAAUCAUAUUGUUCAUGGCUUGUAUCUUUGGUAUAUUUUGUUGCAUAUGCUAUAGAAAAGUAUGAAAGUUAAAAAUAAAUUCAUAGUUGAAAUGAUGGCUUUGAAUGGUAUUGUCAGAUGAGAAACGGCACUAUUAGGAAAUAGGUAUAAUGGUACUUUAUUUAUUUUGAUCAAUUUUAGAUAUUGUAUGAAAAUUAUUAUCUUAUUUAGUACAUGAGACCUUUUAAACAGUUAUUGACAAUAUAACAAUGUGUAUAUGAAGCUUUAGAUCAACACUUAAAGCUGCACUCUUACAGAUUGUCAGUUAAGACACAAAAUUGUCUCAAAAUCUGCUGAUUUGGUUAUCAUUCCUUUAAUUCAGUCAUAUUAGAUAAUUCACAAUAGAACCAAUCAGAGAUGUUUGGUAAAACUGCCGAAAAUUUCAUUUACAUUCAAUUGUUCGUAAUGCUUUUAGCCAUAAAACAUAAAAAAAAUUAACAUAAAUAUGAUAAACUGCAAUCUGAUCUUUUUUCAGCAGUCUUAUAUAAAAUUGGGUCUUGACAUUUAUGCAAAAAAUUGUCCAUUUAUAGACAAACAAUAAAAGAUUACCGGUAGUCAAAACGAUCAAUCGGUGAGAUUGCAGCUUUAAAUACACCUUUUAAGACCGCUGUAAAAUUCCAAUGGUUUGCCUAAAUCUUUAAAGCUAGCAUACUGUUUAAUUGACAACCAUACUUAUUGUUUAAAAGUGUCAUGAUAUCUUUGUACAACGUUUUUAUGU